GAUGAACGCUGGCGGCGUGCCUAAUACAUGCAAGUCGAGCGAACAGACGAGGACCUUGCUCCUCUGACGUUAGCGGCGGACGGGUGAGUAACACGUGGAUAACCUACCUAUAAGACUGGGAUAACUUCGGGAAACCGGAGCUAAUACCGGAUAAUAUAUUGAACCGCAUUGUUCAAUAGUGAAAGUCGGUUAUGCUGUCACUUAUAGAUGGAUCCGCGCCGCAUUAGCUAGUUGGUAAGGUAAGGGCUUACCAAGGCAACGAUGCGUAGCCGACCUGAGCGGGUGAUCGGCAAAACUGGAACGGGAACACGGUCCAGACUCCUCCGGGAGGCAGCAGUAGGGAACUUUGCGCAAUGGGCGAAGGCCUGCCGGAGCAACGCGGCGUGAGUGAUGAAGGUCUUCGGAUCGUAAAACUCUGUUAUUAGGAAAGAAAAAAUGUGUAAGUAACUAUGCACGUCUUGACGGUACCUAAUCAGAAAGCCACGGCUAACUACGUG
rnacentral:rRNA from 1 species